AAUGAAGUGCCUGAUUAAAAAGGGAUAUUUUGAUAGAAUAUAUUAUGUAAUUAUAUUACCUUCAUUA
rnacentral:tRNA from 1 species